rnacentral:rRNA from 1 species
UCGACGAGGUCCAACCAAUCUUCGGGUUGGGGAAGACCUAGUGGCGAACGGGUGAGUAACACGUGAGGAACCUGCCCCGAAGACUGGGAUAACACCGGGAAACCGGUGCUAAUACCGGAUGCCCUCAGCGGACCGCAUGAUCUGCUGAGGAAAUGGAUUCCGCUUCGGGAGGGUCUCGCGGCCUAUCAGCUUGUUGGUGGGGUAACGGCCCACCAAGGCGUCGACGGGUAGCUGGUCUGAGAGGACGAUCAGCCACACUGGGACUGAGACACGGCCCAGACUCCUACGGGAGGCAGCAGUGGGGAAUCUUGCGCAAUGGGCGAAAGCCUGACGCAGCAACGCCGCGUGGGGGAUGAAGGCUCUCGGGUUGUAAACCCCUUUCAGCAGGGACGAUAGUGACGGUACCUGCAGAAGAAGCCCCGGCCAACUACGUGCCAGCAGCCGCGGUAACACGUAGGGGGCAAGCGUUGUCCGGAUUUAUUGGGCGUAAAGAGCUCGUAGGCGGCUCGGUAAGUCGGGUGUGAAAACUCGGGGCUCAACCCCGAGACGCCACUCGAUACUGCCAUGGCUUGAGUCCGGUAGGGGAGCAGGGAAUUCCUGGUGUAGCGGUG